AACGUAGGAGGCGAGCGUUAUCCGGAUUUACUGGGUGUAAAGCGCGUGCAGGCGGUUAGCUAAGUUGGGUGUGAAAGCUCCUGGCUCAACUGGGAGAGGUCGCUCAAGACUGGCUGACUCGAGGAUGGUAGGGGAAAGUGGAAUUCCGGGAGUAGUGGUGAAAUGCGUAGAUAUCCGGAGGAACACCAGUGGCGAAGGCGGCUUUCUGGACCAUCACUGACGCUCAGACGCGAAAGCCAGGGUAGCAAACGGG
rnacentral:rRNA from 1 species